rnacentral:misc_RNA from 1 species
UUUAACAUUAAUUGAUUGUUUUACACUUUAGAAUAAAAUAUUUUUUGGCGGCAGGUCCUCUCCCACCAGGUCCAAGAAUUGUAAUGAUGAUGAAGAUGGGGAGAGAGACCCCCAGAAUAUUACCCCGAAGGCAACUUUUACUCUGGGGGACUCUCCCAUUCGAAAUCCGAAAGUGGCGGGAUCCUGGUGAGAGAAACUUUCUCUUUUAAUUCGUCUUUGGAGCACUCUGCUGGCCGAUUUGUCCCAUGGUCGUCUUGGCGGGUGAGUUGGUAUUUUUUCCCAUCAGGUGGCAACUCCUUGUGUCAGGUUGGAGGCGGGUGGCAGCACUCGUUGGGAAAAAAGGACGUCGACUUGAGGACAACAUUGGAGGGCAGUGGAUUUGGCGUGAGACCUGUAUGAAGCAUCGUCGUGUGGGUGGACAUUGUGUGGCGUCUUCGUGUACAGGUGCAGGUGAGUCCAGAGGAUGUCGUCAGGAUGGGUAAAAUAUAUCACAGGAAUAAGAAGAAGACAUGUAAACAAAGAUUUCUGGACAGGAUUUAGGAGCAUAUCACAUAGAUUGAACAGAUCCCAGGUGUUGAUGGCGAUGGAUGGCCUUUUCGCAUGUAUCCUUACAUGGUCUGCGCGUUCGAUAGGAAGUUCGUCGAGUGGUGGGUACGAAGUGCAGAGAGUUAUAUUUUCGAGUGGGAGCAGACCGCGUCAUCUUUAUCUUCGCAGGGCAGGCAGUGGAUCGUGUGAGUAAGGAUUUACGUAUUUUCCGUGUCCAUCUGUGAGUCAGGAAGAACGUCGUCAGGUACUUGUAGGAGAGAGCCCAGAGAUCGUGCCAGAGAUGUCCGUAUGCAUGGUGUAGGAGCGUGGGCUUUCCUAUUGGCAUCUUUUGCUGGGAACGCGGUUCGUCCUUGUGUCGUGGAGGAGGCGGUUUGCAGCAUUCAUUAUGGAAAGGGUAAACAUGCAGGAAUUUAUCUAAUUUGGUCUAGUCAGGUACGGAUACAUGUGAGUCCAGUGGAUGUCGUCAGGUUGGGUAAAAAUUUAUCCCAGAUAUGUAAACAAAGAAGAUUUCUAGACGGGAUUUUAGACGUAUUAAAAAAAACAGCAUUGAGCAGGUCCACAGUGACGGUGGCAGGGGAAGGCGUUUGACGGCUGGGUGUUGUUCCAUGGUCCUGAGUUUAUUUGUCCUUUCUCCUUACGGGUUCUGCACGUUCGUAGAGGGGUUCGUCAGGCUAGCAACGUGUUCAUGUAGAGUCAACAGGUUUUUUUUCCGAUAUAAGUGAGCGUCAUCAAGGAAAAAUUUUUUUGUCUGAGUGUCUGGGAUGGACUAAAUUUGGAUCAGGUCGCCGGCCAUUAGCAUGUCCAUUAGGGAUACACUACUGCCAAGAGAAGAGGCACCCAUUUCCUUGUCAACCGAUUCUUCUAGAGGUUACCCAGCUUCUCCCACAGCUUCGCUUGGAAACUUGUAUCCUGUUUUAGACGUUCAUCUACUUGCUGUUGCUGCAACUUUAUGUUUUCGGAGAUAUUAGUAAUAUUCUGCAUGACUUUGUGCAAAUUGUUAUCAGAAUAAGAGGCCAUUGUGGGCCGUUGUUGACCAA